UAUAUACAUAUAAUUUUUUUAAUUAUAAAAAUGUUAUAUACGUAUCUCAUAUAUACAUAUAAAAUCAUAUAUAUACAUAAUCUCAUGUAAUCUUUACAACAGCAUUAAGUGGGGAAUAAUAAUGUCCUCAUUUACAGUUGAAGAAGAUGUGACACUGAAAUGUAACUUUCCCAGAGUCUCUGAGAAAUGCUAAAAGCAGGAAGGGCUUGAACUAGCGACAAGUCUUGUUAUGCUGCAUCAUACUGCACAGAUAGUUAAUAUAGAUUCGUUCAGGUGAUAAGGUCUCAGUAUCGCAAAUAAAUUUGUAUCCAAAAUGAAUAAGCAUAGUUCUGUUUGUCUGUAAGUAGGCAUAUCUUUUGUAUCAUAAAAAUAGAACAUAGUAAAUUAAUGUUUUAAAAAAGUACACCCAGCAGGAUAGAUUUAAGAAUCAUAUUUAUAUUAAAAUGUAAAAGAUUUAACUCUGGGUUAUUUUCAAUUUGUGAAAUUUGUGCUAUGUAAUUUCAAACUCUUUAAUUC
rnacentral:lncRNA from 1 species